rnacentral:rRNA from 1 species
UACGGAGGGGGCAAGCGUUGUUCGGAAUUACUGGGCGUAAAGGGCGCGCAGGCGGCUGCUCAAGUCAGGCGUGAAAGGCCUGGGCUCAACCCGGGAAUUGCGCUUGAGACUGGGCUGGCUUGAGUGCGGGAGAGGAUGGUGGAAUUCCGAGUGUAGAGGUGAAAAUUCGUAGAUAUUGGGAAGAACACCGGUGGCGAAGGCGGCCAUCUGGACCGCAACUGACGCUGAGGCGCGAAAGCGUGGGGAGCAAACAGGG